AUUGAACGCUGGCGGCAGGCCUAACACAUGCAAGUCGAACGAGUGGCGGACGGGUGAGUAAUGUCUGGGAAACUGCACGAUGGAGGGGGAUACCUACUGGAAACGGUAGCUAAUACCGCAUACCAUCGGAUGUGCCCCGCUGGGAUGAGCUUGUAGGUGAGGUAACGGCUCACCUCGGCGACGAUCCCUAGCUGGUCUGAGAGGAUGACCAGCCAGACUGAAACUGAGACACGGUCGAGACUCCUACGGGAGGCAGCAGUGGGGAAGAUUGCAAAAUGGGCGCAAGCCUGAUGCAGCCAGGCCGCGUGGAUGAAGAAGGCCUUCGGGGUGUAAAGUACUUUCAGCGGGGAGGCGUUACCCGCAGAAGAAGCACCGGCUAACUCCGUGCCAGCAGCCGCGGUAAUAC
rnacentral:rRNA from 1 species